rnacentral:rRNA from 1 species
GGACGAACGCUGGCGGCGUGCUUAACCCAUGCAAGUCGAACGGAAAGGCCCCUUUGGGGGUACUCGAGUGGCGAACGGGUGAGUAACACGUGAGUAACCUGCCCUUGACUUCGGGAUAACUUCAGGAAACUGGGGCUAAUACCGGAUAGGAAUCCUUGCUGCAUGGUGGGGGUUGGAAAGCUUCGGCGGUUUUGGAUGGACUCGCGGCUUAUCAGCUUGUUGGUGGGGUAGUGGCUUACCAAGGCUUUGACGGGUAGCCGGCCUGAGAGGGCGACCGGCCACAUUGGGACUGAGAUACGGCCCAGACUCCUACGGGAGGCAGCAGUGGGGAAUAUUGCACAAUGGGCGGAAGCCUGAUGCAGCAACGCCGCGUGCGGGAUGACGGCCUUCGGGUUGUAAACCGCUUUCAGCAGGGGCGAAGCUUGUGGUGACGGUACCUGCAGAAGAAGCACCGGCUAACUACGUG